GAUGAACGCUCGCUCCAGGCUUAACACGUGCAAGUCGCGGGGCAGCAUGGGGGUUGCUUGCAAUCCCCGAUGGCGACCGGCGCACGGGUGAGUAACGCGUAUCCAACCUGCCCUUCACCACGGGAUAACCCGGCGAAAGUCGGACUAAUACCGUAUGUUGUCCAUUGACGGCAUCCGAUUUGGACGAAAGGCUUGGCGGUGAGGGAUGGGGAUGCGUCCGAUUAGCCAGACGGCGGGGUAACGGCCCACCGUGGCUACGAUCGGUAGGGGUUCUGAGAGGAAGGUCCCCCACACUGGAACUGAGACACGGUCCAGACUCCUACGAGAGGCAGCAGUGAUGAAUAUUGGUCAAUAGGCAUAAUCCUGAACCAGCCAAGUAGCGUGCAGGAUUACGGCCCUAUGGGUUGUAAACUGCUUUUAUGAGGGGAUAAAGUGGCACACGUGUGGGCUUUUGCAGGUACCGCAUGAAUAAGGACCGGCUAAUUCCGUG
rnacentral:rRNA from 1 species